UUUUACCACUAAACUAUACCCGCU
rnacentral:tRNA from 1 species